UACGUAGGGAGCGAGCGUUGUCCGGAAUUACUGGGUGUAAAGGGAGCGCAGGCGGGAUUGCAAGUCAGGUGUGAAAUACGUGGGCUCAACCCACGGGCUGCACUUGAAACUGUAGUUCUUGAGUGAAGUAGAGGUAAGCGGAAUUCCUAGUGUAGCGGUGAAAUGCGUAGAUAUUAGGAGGAACAUCGGUGGCGAAGGCGGCUUACUGGGCUUUUACUGACGCUGAGGCUCGAAAGCGUGGGGAGCAAAC
rnacentral:rRNA from 1 species